rnacentral:rRNA from 1 species
UACGAAGGGGGCUAGCGUUGUUCGGAAUUACUGGGCGUAAAGCGCGCGUAGGCGGACAUCUAAGUCAGGGGUGAAAUGCCGGGGCUUAACCUCGGAACUGCCUUUGAUACUGGAAGUCUGGAGUUCGGGAGAGGUGAGUGGAAUUCCGAGUGUAGAGGUGAAAUUCGUAGAUAUUCGGAGGAACACCAGAAGCGAAGGCGGCUCACUGGCCCGAUACUGACGCUGAGGCGCGAAAGCGUGGGGAGCAAACAGG